rnacentral:rRNA from 1 species
UAUGGAGGGUGCAAGCGUUGCUCGGAAUUAUUGGGCGUAAAGGGUAGGUAGGUGGUCUUAUUUGUCUGGGGUGAAAGCCUUGAGCUUAACUCAAGAAGUGCCCCAGAAACGGUAAGACUGGAGUCCUGGAGAGGGUCGUGGAAUUCCCGGUGUAGCGGUGAAAUGCGUAGAGAUCGGGAGGAACACCAGAGGCGAAGGCGGCGACCUGGACAGGCACUGACACUCAACUACGAAAGCGUGGGGAGCAAACAGG